ensembl:lncRNA
AACUCAUCUAACAUUCUGAACUUGGUGCACUCUUAAACUGAGCAAACGCUUCCAGGUAACACACUGAUGUGGAUGUCGGGCAUCUGUAUGCUUUCACACUCACAAAAAACUACAACGCUUGAAGCUCGCACUCAUCACAGCCUGAGCCCAGCUUUGGGGCUGAAGAUAGCGAGGGUAUGCGUGGGGCUGGUGAAGCUGAGAGCACAGCUGAGGUGAGCCCUUCCCCAGGUGUCCUCAGUUUAGCUCCCCUCACUCAGAGCAGGGAGGAGGUGAUAGCCAGCAGGGUGGGUAUAAUCGAAGACAUGGGCUUCAGCUGUUGUGCUGACAGCCUCACUCAGAGAGCACAUCUACCCACCCAGCCCCACUGGUAAGCCUUUUGCUAAGCCUGGUGCGUGUUGGAAGGGCUGGUUUGUCUUUCACCGCUUCACCAAGGUUCUGCUGUCCCAGGAUGUGUGCAUGAGUCAUUGUCUGGAAAUCCAAGUGGCCAGAUGUCCGCCAGAUACCGCCGCACUCGAGUUGCUCACUCCAGCAAAUUGGGCGAGGGAAGGGGCCGCUCCUUCCCGCAGAGCUGGCGGGCAGGAGUGUUAAGAUCCUGGCUGACAGAAUCCGAUUGAAUGAGCAGUUGAGCUGGAGUCUGGGCAAAGCCUUUGCCUUAGGAAUUCAUGGAGCAAGUCACCCACCAAACUGCUAACAAGGAUCAGCUUCCCCGCUGGGUUAAAGUAUCAAUCUCUGCUCUUCGGUCAGUUUGCUUCUGUUCAAGUAUUACCAAUUUUUCACCGGGAUAUUGUUGUCAUGCGGAUUUCUUUGUUCUGCCAAAAUACCCAGCCGCAUGCUAUUAUUUUCUUCAGGUAAACUGUCACUGCUUUCCUUCCCUGGGCCAGUGCAUGUCAGGCAACAGCCUGACAGCCUCCCCUCUUGAUAAAUGAUGCAAGCCCAAAGGGCAGCGGCUCAGCGGUUCUGUGCACGUGUGCUGGCCGAGAGAGCUCAGGCAUUCUUCCUGCUGUGGGAAGUUUACCCUAAAGGUCACCAGAAGAUUCAUCACGCAUAAUUUUUUUCCCAAAGACAGUGCUGAGAAGUGCUACGUGCCAAGAAUGGAUGGUGGUGGUAAUAAGGAGUAGCAGUUUACAGGAGGCUGCAAGCUUAGGUAGAGAUAUCACCUGCAGUGGUCCAAAGUCCUUCCUGGGCAAGUGAGCAGAGACUUGGAAGACUGUCAACUGCAAAUCAAAGUACAGUGCCUUACGAGAUAAGCAGAAAAGUGUUUUCUAGGCUGCAAUAUAUAUCCGUUUGUUUGCUUUUGUUUCUAGCACUGCAUAGCUGAAUGCUUUGGUGCUGGGAUGUUCCUCUGUGAGCCCCAGUGGCAAAGAACAGAUCCUGAGUCCCCCUCUGUCCAGCUCCUCUGCACCACCUCCCUCCAUCCCCACUUGAACCAAAGGAAGGCUUUCUUCUGUAACACACAGCUACAGAUCAGCUAUAACCUGAAUAACUGUGAUCAGCGGGAAUAACUAGCUCGACUCUGCAUUUAAACACAAAAACAAAAGCCUGAGAAAUCAAAAAUCCUUUAAGAAAAUAAAAAGCAGACUGUCCUGUUUUCA